AACAGGUGGAGUUGAACUGUAAGCUCCGGGGAUUCAGCUGGUGAGUGUGUCAUGAGCUUGGUCAUUUUUGGCCGGCUUCUGGAGUCCGCUUAGCUGCGGGUCCUUGCUCUUUCGGGAGUAGGGAUGUGCGUUGCGCUUGUCAAGUGCUGUGCGCUCUGGAGGUUGCCGGGCUGGCUCGCUAGUGCACUUUCUCGGAGUGGUCACCACGACCGGCGUUGUUGCCUUACUGCUGUAGUCAAACCGGUCAGGUUUGGUCCUUGUGGCUGAAUUUGAUCGGGAUGGCAGGUAGCUCAUUGGUUGGCUUGCUGGCCUUUGGGUGUAAUAGCUGGCUGCAGUGGUUUUGUGCAAUACGUCGGAGACGGCGGCUUCAGGUAUGUGCUUUUGUGUCGUGAGCUGGCAGUGUCGAGUUUGACUGGCGUGUUUACCUGCUUC
rnacentral:rRNA from 1 species